rnacentral:rRNA from 1 species
AAAUUGAAGAGUUUGAUCAUGGCUCAGAUUGAACGCUGGCGGCAGGCCUAACACAUGCAAGUCGAACGGUAACAGGAAGCAGCUUGCUGCUUUGCUGACGAGUGGCGGACGGGUGAGUAAUGUCUGGGAAACUGCCUGAUGGAGGGGGAUAACUACUGGAAACGGUGGCUAAUACCGCAUAACGUCGCAAGACCAAAGAGGGGGACCUUCGGGCCUCUUGCCAUCAGAUGUGCCCAGAUGGGAUUAGCUUGUUGGUGAGGUAACGGCUCACCAAGGCGACGAUCCCUAGCUGGUCUGAGAGGAUGACCAGCCACACUGGAACUGAGACACGGUCCAGACUCCUACGGGAGGCUGCAGUGGGGAAUAUUGCACAAUGGGCGCAAGCCUGAUGCAGCCAUGCCGCGUGUAUGAAGAAGGCCUUCGGGUUGUAAAGUACUUUCAGCGGGGAGGAAG